rnacentral:lncRNA from 1 species
CGUGGGCUAUAAGCUAGUAGCAGUAUAAUCCUACAAAGCACCCAUCGCUCACAUAAGCAAUUCUUGUUCAAUGCAGCAUGAAUAAAAAAAGCAUGAUGACAUAUCUGAUCUAUGUGGUGAUAUAUUCCAUUUGCACGAUGCCAAUCCUCUAAUUGAACUUGUAGUGGAUCGUUCAAUUUCCAUAACCUCACCCUUUGCCUGGUCC